rnacentral:rRNA from 1 species
UAGGGAAUCUUCCGCAAUGGGCGAAAGCUUGACGGAGCAACGCCGCGUGAGUGAUGAAGGUCUUCGGAUCGUAAAACUCUGUUAUUAGGGAAGAACAAAUGAGUAAGUAACUAUGCACGUCUUGACGGUACCUAAUCAGAAAGCCACGGCUAACUACGUGCCAGCAGCCGCGGUAAUACGUAGGUGGCAAGCGUUAUCCGGAAUUAUUGGGCGUAAAGCGCGCGUAGGCGGUUUUUUAAGUCUGAUGUGAAAGCCCACGGCUCAACCGUGGGGGGUCAUUGGAAACUGGAAAACUUGAGUGCAGAAGAGGAAAGUGGAAUUCCAUGUGUAGCGGUGAAAUGCGCAGAGAUAUGGAGGAACACCAGUGGCGAAGGCGACUUUCUGGUCUGUAACUGACGCUGAUGUGCGAAAGCGUGGGGAUCAAACAGG